UCCUACGGGGGGCAGCAGUGGGGAAUAUUGGACAAUGGGGGGAACCCUGAUCCAGCGACGCCGCGUGAGUGAAGAAGUAUUUCGGUAUGUAAAGCUCUAUCAGCAGGGAAGAAAGAAAUGACGGUACCUGACUAAGAAGCCCCGGCUAACUACGUGCCAGCAGCCGCGGUAAUACGUAGGGGGCAAGCGUUAUCCGGAUUUACUGGGUGUAAAGGGAGCGUAGACGGCGAUGCAAGUCUGAAGUGAAAGGCGGGGGCCCAACCCCCGGACUGCUUUGGAAACUACCGAACUAGAGUGUCGGAGAG
rnacentral:rRNA from 1 species